rnacentral:rRNA from 1 species
CAGCCGCCACGGUAAUACGUAGGUGGCAAGCGUUGUCCGGAAUUAUUGGGCGUAAAGGGCUCGCAGGCGGUUUCUUAAGUCUGAUGUGAAAGCCCCCGGCUCAACCGGGGAGGGUCAUUGGAAACUGGGAAACUUGAGUGCAGAAGAGGAGAGUGGAAUUCCACGUGUAGCGGUGAAAUGCGUAGAGAUGUGGAGGAACACCAGUGGCGAAGGCGACUUUCUGGUCUGUAACUGACGCUGAGGAGCGAAAGCGUGGGGAGCGAACAGGAUUAGAUACCCCUGUAGUCCCUGUCUCUUUACA